UUACGGGAGGCAGCAGUGGGGAAUAUUGCACAAUGGGCGAAAGCCUGAUGCAGCAACGCCGCGUGAGCGAUGAAGGCCUUCGGGUCGUAAAGCUCUGUCCUCAAGGAAGAUAAUGACGGUACUUGAGGAGGAAGCCCCGGCUAACUACGUGCCAGCAGCCGCGGUAAUACGUAGGGGGCUAGCGUUAUCCGGAAUUACUGGGCGUAAAGGGUGCGUAGGUGGUUUCUUAAGUCAGAGGUGAAAGGCUACGGCUCAACCGUAGUAAGCCUUUGAAACUGGGAAACUUGAGUGCAGGAGAGGAGAGUGGAAUUCCUAGUGUAGCGGUGAAAUGCGUAGAUAUUAGGAGGAACACCAGUUGCGAAGGCGGCUCUCUGGACUGUAACUGACACUGAGGCACGAAAGCGUGGGGAGCAAACAGGAUUAGAUACCCUGGUAGUCCACGCCGUAAACGAUGAGUACUAGCUGUCGGAGGUUACCCCCUUCGGUGGCGCAGCUAACGCAUUAAGUACUCCGCCU
rnacentral:rRNA from 1 species